UUUCUAUUAUUAAGGCAUCCCAAUGGCGUCGUUUCUUGUUUGUCAUUACAAUUAACUUGAUUGCCGUUGGACAAUGAUAGUACUUCUUUCCUUAGUGUUUGGAGUACGAUCAUUGGGAUGAUGUGCUUAUACAUCAAGCUGAGGGUGUAUCUCCGGAUGAUGAGUAAAACUCUGACUCAUUCGGUCAUAAUCCCUUAAACAUUU
rnacentral:snoRNA from 1 species